rnacentral:misc_RNA from 1 species
UUUCCGUAGGUGAACCUGCAGAAGGAUCAUUAACACUACAAGCUUUCAAACUUGUAUCUACCCCUUGGGUGCCGUUGCCACAGUGUCACUUUAUUUGCUUCACUUCUUUUAAACUUUUUUCUUUUAUACCCUGUUCAACCAACUGACUGAAUCUAAUUGCCUUGACUGGCAAACAGAAAGCACAAAUAUCUGUACAACUCUUAGCAACGGAUAUCUUGGCUCUC